AGUGAACGCUGGCGGUAGGCCUAACACAUGCAAGUCGAACGGCAGCACAGGAGAGCUUGCUCUCUGGGUGGCGAGUGGCGGACGGGUGAGGAAUACAUCGGAAUCUACUCUGUCGUGGGGGAUAACGUAGGGAAACUUACGCUAAUACCGCAUACGACCUACGGGUGAAAGCAGGGGACCUUCGGGCCUUGCGCGAUUGAAUGAGCCGAUGUCGGAUUAGCUAGUUGGCGGGGUAAAGGCCCACCAAGGCGACGAUCCGUAGCUGGUCUGAGAGGAUGAUAAGCCACACUGGAACUGAGACACGGUCCAGACUCCUACGGGAGGCAGCAGUGGGGAAUAUUGGACAAUGGGCGCAAGCCUGAUCCAGCCAUACCGCGUGGGUGAAGAAGGCCUUCAGGUUGUAAAGCCCUUUUGUUGGGAAAGAAAUCCAGCUGGCUAAUACCCGGUUGGGAUGACGGUACCCAAAGAAUAAGCACCGGCUAACUUCGUGCCAGCAGCCGCGGUAA
rnacentral:rRNA from 1 species